UACGUAGGGGGCGAGCGUUGUCCGGAGUACUGGGCGUAAGCGCACGCAGGCGGUCUGCUAAGUUUGGAGUGACAGUUGGUGGUUCUAACUGCCAAAGUGCUUCGAAAACUGACAGACUUGAGGGCUUCAGAGGGACACGGAAUUCCGGGUGGAGUGGUGAAAUGCGUAGAUAUCGGAAGGAACACCAGUGGCGAAAGCGGCUUCCUGGUCCGACACCGACGUUCAGGCACGAAAGCGUGGGGAGCAAACAGG
rnacentral:rRNA from 1 species